rnacentral:rRNA from 1 species
AAGGGUGACUGCGUACCUUUUGUAUAAUGGGUCAGCGACUUAUAUUUUGUAGCGAGGUUAACCGAAUAGGGGAGCCGAAGGGAAACCGAGUCUUAACUGGGCGUCUAGUUGCAAGGUAUAGACCCGAAACCCGGUGAUCUAGCCAUGGGCAGGUUGAAGGUUGGGUAACACUAACUGGAGGACCGAACCGACUAAUGUUGAAAAAUUAGCGGAUGACUUGUGGCUGGGGGUGAAAGGCCAAUCAAACCGGGAGAUAGCUGGUUCUCCCCGAAAUCUAUUUAGGUAGAGCCUUGAGCGGACACCUUCGGGGGUAGAGCACUGUUUCGGCUAGGGGUCCAUCCCGGAUUACCAACCCGAUGCAAACUACGAAUACCGAAGAGUGAUACUCAGGAGACACACGGCGGGUGCUAACGUCCGUCGUGGAGAGGGAAACAACCCAGACCGCCAGCUAAGGUCCCAAAGUCUAUAUUAAGUGGGAAACGAAGUGGGAAGGCUUAGACAGCUAGGAUGUUGGCUUAGAAGCAGCCAUCAUUUAAAGAAAGCGUAAUAGCUCACUAGUCGAGUCGGCCUGCGCGGAAGAUGUAACGGGGCUCAAAUAUAGCACCGAAGCUGCGGCAUCAGACGAAAGUCUGUUGGGUAGGGGAGCGUUGUGUAAGCGGAUGAAGGUGUGUUGAGAAGCAUGCUGGACGUAUCACAAGUGCGAAUGCUGACAUAAGUAACGAUAAAACGGGUGAAAAACCCGUUCGCCGGAAGACCAAGGGUUCCUGUCCAACGUUAAUCGGGGCAGGGUGAGUCGGCCCCUAAGGCGAGGCUGAAAAGCGUAGUCGAUGGGAAACGGGUUAAUAUUCCCGUACUUGGUAAAGCUGCGAUGUGGGGACGGAGCAGGUUAGGUUAGCGUGCUGUUGGAUAUGCACGUUUAAGUUGGUAGGUGGGGAGUUUAGGCAAAUCCGGACUUCCUUAACACUGAGAGAUGAUGACGAGGCUCUACGGAGCUGAAGUAACCGAUACCACACUUCCAGGAAAAGCCACUAAGCGAAAGGCUUUACUAAACCGUACUGAAAACCGACACAGGUGGUCAGGUAGAGAAUACUCAGGCGCUUGAGAGAACUCGGGUGAAGGAACUAGGCAAAAUAGCACCGUAACUUCGGGAGAAGGUGCGCCGGCGUAGAUUGUAGUCCCUCGCGGGCGAAGGUUGAACCGGUCGAAGAUACCAGCUGGCUGCAACUGUUUAUUAAAAACACAGCACUCUGCAAACACGAAAGUGGACGUAUAGGGUGUGAUGCCUGCCCGGUGCUGGAAGGUUAAUUGAUGGUGUAAUCGAAAGAGAAGCUCCUGAUCGAAGCCCCAGUAAACGGCGGCCGUAACUAUAACGGUCCUAAGGUAGCGAAAUUCCUUGUCGGGUAAGUUCCGACCUGCACGAAUGGCAUAAUGAUGGCCAGGCUGUCUCCACCCGAGACUCAGUGAAAUUGAAAUCGCCGUGAAGAUGCGGUGUACCCGCGGCUAGACGGAAAGACCCCGUGAACCUUUACUAUAGCUUGACACUGAACAUUGAAUUUUGAUGUGUAGGAUAGGUGGGAGACUAUGAAGAUGAUACGCCAGUAUUGUUGGAGUCGUCCUUGAAAUACCACCCUUUAACGUUUGAUGUUCUAACGAAGAUUACGAAACGUGGUCUCGGACAGUGUCUGGUGGGUAGUUUGACUGGGGCGGUCUCCUCCCAAAGAGUAACGGAGGAGCACGAAGGUUUGCUAAUCACGGUCGGACAUCGUGAGGUUAGUGCAAUGGUAUAAGCAAGCUUAACUGCGAGACAGACAAGUCGAGCAGGUACGAAAGUAGGUCAUAGUGAUCCGGUGGUUCUGCAUGGAAGGGCCAUCGCUCAACGGAUAAAAGGUACUCCGGGGAUAACAGGCUGAUACCGCCCAAGAGUUCAUAUCGACGGCGGUGUUUGGCACCUCGAUGUCGGCUCAUCACAUCCUGGGGCUGAAGUAGGUCCCAAGGGUAUGGCUGUUCGCCAUUUAAAGUGGUACGCGAGCUGGGUUUAGAACGUCGUGAGACAGUUCGGUCCCUAUCUGCCGUGGGCGUUGGAGAAUUGAUUGGGGCUGCUCCUAGUACGAGAGGACCGGAGUGGACGCACCACUGGUGUUCCGGUUGUGUCGCCAGACGCAUUGCCGGGUAGCUAAGUGCGGAAGAGAUAAGUGCUGAAAGCAUCUAAGCACGAAACUUGCCAAGAGAUGAGUUCUCCCAGAUUAUAAAUCUGUAAGGGUUGUUUAAGACUAAGACGUAGAUAGGUGCGGUGUGUAAGUGUAGUGAUACAUUGAGCUAACGCAUACUAAUUGCCCGAGAGGCUUAACU